UCAGUUUUUAGCUCAUUUCAAGUUACUUCCACGACGUUACAUAUAGAAGCUGAUAUCUGUUUUGUCAUUGAAGUUUGUUUUGAUGAUUGUUAUUACUGGUGGUGGCUUUUGCAUCUGUACACAAAACAUUAUGUUCUUGUAUACAGAAAGAGGCUUAUAGCUUCAGACAACUCCUUCGGUCUCCUGACACAGUGGAGGAGCUGCAUCACAUUCUGGAACCAGAGCAUCUAAAGGCUCCAAGCAGCUCACCUGGGAUGCAGUCCUCAGGCAGGAGAGACACUUGCCGGUGGUGGAGCACUUGGUCUGCUGCCAUGAACUGCCGUAUGAGGGUGUGUCGGCUGGGUGAGGAGCUCCUGCCCUCUGUGCUCUAUGUAUGGAGACAGAUGAGGCCCAGCAGCACUCUCAAAGAGGAGAUGGUAGAGUUAUUCAACCUGCAGCUCUGUGUACAUCAUCUCAAGGGUCAAAUACACAAGACACAGGAGCCUAUGCUGAGGACUGGGCCAAAUGGCAGAGUCUACUCUAUAACCUCUAUGAUGCCCUGGUGACUGAGAUCAGCCAGAUUGGGAGCCGGGAGAAAUAUGCCACAGGGUUGCGCCACAUUGCUGUGAAGGAGAACCUUAUUGAGCUAACUGGAGACAUCAGAUGAUAAAUCUAAGAUCCUUAAUUUUCACAUCUUGACUUCGUUGACCAUUUCCAGGCUAAAACCUGAGCUGUGCUGACAUAGUUUACCUGUCUUUAAGAUGGUUUUGGUAUUGUUGGUCUCAUCUUCAUGUUUUAGGUGUUUGACUGUUUCUUAGCUCUAUAGCGAAGAUUGUAACCUUCAGAUUCUGGAUGUGACUCAGGCCCACCUCAGAGCCACCCAGAGAGGAAGUCUCCAGGGCACGCCCAGCAAGUGCAGACACAUCGAGCUGGGCUGGGAGGUUCUCCGAGACCACCUGCAGCCACACCAUCAUACCAUGUGUUGCUGAUCUGUGUUUGGCCCAGGCCCUUCUCAAGUGUCCUGUUCCUAAGCUUGGGCACUGGGUGGGACCAUGCAGGGCUGUGGAGGGGGUCGGGCCCCCCAGCAUCAAGGAGAACAUCAUGAGCUGGCUGCUGAUGAACGAACAGAGUGAAGAGGCAGAGGAGAGAUCAAGAUCACACCCCAUCAUCUGCAGGAUUUUCCUCACAACCUAAUCCGCAGAAUCCUUGUGCCUUUGACCCUCAAAGACACCCGAGCUAGCAUUAUGUUUCUCCUCGGAGCAAAGGAACUUGAGAGGCUGUUCUUGGAGAUGACACCGGACAGCUUGGAGAAGAGAAAGAUGCUUCCUCUGAAAUGCCAGCAGACAGCCGUUGAGAACGUCUACCUGAAAGCCUAAGAAGGGAUGAGGCUCCAGAAGAGCAGCUCUUGGAAUACCUGAAUGACAAGACAUUUAACAGCAAGGCCACGCUGCUGAAGAAUGUGUCGGUGGUGCUGUGCUGCAGCCCCGUCUGUGAGAAACAGUCCCUCUUCGCCCUCUUCCAGUCCAACAAGGAGAACAACAUAGAGGAGCCGCUCAUCAAAGAGCUAUGGGCAAAUCAUUUGGCUACACAUCCUGGGCAGUGAGUCCAGAGUUCUGGGCUACAGAAGUGUGGAGGGGUUUGUUAGCUCUCACCUGGAUUACCUGGUGGCAGAGGGGCUGGGCUAGCCUGGCUAUACCCUGGAGUUCUUCCCCUACACUCUGCUCAAUCACCCCACUCUCUUCUACAGUAACCUGGCGGACAUUGUGGUGGAGCUGUUGAUGACCCUGUAUGAUGGGGCUGCUACCGAGGAGGGCAGAGGGGACCUGAGGAGGUGCAUAGGAUAAUGUUCAUUACACAUCACUCCUUACCACUCCACAACCACACUUACUUGCAUUCACAACCUUUCAUUGUCUGUGAUGAUAUGUUCCAUGUUCUCUCUAGGGAACUGGACCCAGCCCCAAUCCCACCCUCUUUCAGCUCCAAUGUUAUCAAAGCCACACUGGACUACCUCAGCAAAUGUCACAGUGCCAGUCACCAGUCGUCCCUGGUGGCCAUUUUAUCCAGGACACUGAUCUCCAUCCAGAGGAUCCUGCUGGCGGUGUCAGAAGGCAGCUGAGACGAUCAAUGCCUACGAGAGGAUCCCAGGGCAGUGAUUGGGGACAUUAGCCUGUGUAGUGUGCUGGUUUUCCUGACUCUCUGUGGUCACUAAAAGAUCCCAUGGAAUGUAAGAGUAGGGGUGUUAACCCUGGUGUCCUCGCUAAAUUCCCAAUCUGGUUCUCAUACCCUCAUGGCCACCUAAUCAUCCCCUGCUUCCAAUUGGCUCAUUCAUCCCCACUCCUUUCCCAUUUAACUAUUCCCCAGGUCGUUGCUGUAAAUGAUGUGUACUCAGUCAACUUAUCUGGUAAAAUAAGGGUUAAAUCAAAUAAAACACAACCACUUUCCAAAUGA